rnacentral:lncRNA from 1 species
GCAGUACCCCAAGAUUACAAAUAUAGAGAAAUGCAAAUACCGAAAAUAUAAAGACAUUGUCGCUUUCUUAUAUGGCUGUGACCAUGACUAGUUAGUCAUGGACUGGUGCCUCAAGAGGUUGGACUCCCAUAGGAAUAUAGCUUGUGAUUUAAUCUGUAACAGGUUGUUUCUCUUAUAAGGUAUGACAUUAUAAGCAAUGCUCACAUCCCUCAAUAUAUCUCUGCUGAUAAUUUCUGGGGGGCUAAGGGUGAAGAAGUUUCAUUUCAUUUAUUGAUUACUAUGAUUAGAAGUAGAUAUUUUCAUAACAUGAAGUAUCCAAUUUAAUAUCAGAAACAUGCUAAUAGAGAGAAAAAUGAUACCAAACAGAUAAAAAUAACUUAAUAGAGAGAGAAAAUUCAUUUAAGAUAUCAGGUACCUCUACAACAUUAGUUUUGCGAAGCAGCAACUCUGAAUCUCUAGCCUUAAGUUUGACCAUGCAUUCUGAAUUGCAAGGAAGUAUACCAAGUCCAAAUCGAUUCUUAGAAACAUCCUUUGGAUUAUUUCCGUUAGUAUGAUAUGCAUUUUGAACAUCUUGGCAUCGCCAUUCUUUUUUCAGGUUCUGACAAGCACAACGAACAGUAACCUUCAAACAUAGUAACAUACAUGAACAUUUGUUAGCAACUAUAAAAAAACAUAGAAAAAAAAACAGGACAGAUCAUGUGAUUAAAUUGAAACAGGAUGUAUUACCUAUUAGAAUAAAAUGCAUUACCUUUUUAUUACAAGUAUCAAUUGAUGGGCAUUGACCAGGAUGGCAUAUCUCUGGGCAAAGAUGAGGACAAUUCAGCAACUUUCUGAAGUUUACAAAGCACAAGAAAUUCAUAAGUAAUGUAAUAAUAAAAGUGGGACCGAAAUGAUAUGAUACAAUAUAAAAAUAGAUAAAGGAACCAAGAAAAUUAUGUCAUCCUGUUAAAGCAUAUAUAAUCAUGAUAUAAAUAUAUAAUGUGUGUGAAUGUUGUUGAUUAUAUGUUAUCUUAUUUCCAGGUGUACAAGUCAAUGAUACGGACGCUUCAUGGCCAGUUCUUAAUCGAUACAUUAGCUUUAUAGUUAGUGGGCUGAGUCCAGUAAGAGCUUGUAACAUUUAGUAUAUAAAUUAAAUCCUGGAAAUAAUAAAUCAAUCGAAUCAUUUGAGGAUUUUUCCGCGAUUUCCUUUCUCUUUUCGAUGUUCACCAUCGACUGUCUCAAUCGCUGGUCGGAAUCUUAUCUGUGACAUGACACUAAAACUUAAAAUAUAAAUCUGAAUAAAAUUGUAACAAAUGUUACCUGUGACAUGGCCCUCUGCAGGUACGAACAUUUUGUUGUUCAUCGUCAGACAAGCUGUUGAAAUACAUGCACUCAAAAACAUGUACCAUUGCACCACAAUGACAUGAUCGUUUGAUAAGCAUUUUACAAGGAGGACAAUCAUUUAUAUGACAUGGUAGAGAGCAAGGAUGCUUGCAAGUCAGUUCACGCUCCUGCGAAGUGCAAUUUAAUUAUAACAGUAAAAACACACAAAAAACAAGCGAUAACUCCGGAAACAAACGAACAAAUAUGGAAAUAAAAAGUUGAGAAAAGAUGAGAAAUUAAGAAUGCAAAGGACAACCUUCUGGCAUGGAAGCAAACAUUCUUCACAGGACUGGGCAAGAAGAUCAUCUACACCCUUCUGCUUCAAAACAUGACAAUCUUUUGUGCAGUAAUGAUUACCACAUUGAAGAAUAUUUCCACAUAAGUUAGGGCAUAAAAAUCUCCUUUUAUCUGAGCAAAGCAUCUACGAACAAGCACAAAUAUAUGUUUCAAAAUAGAAUAAUCUAAAUAAACCCUUCCAGAAUAUAUGAGAACUUCUGAAAAGAAGAGGAAGCAUGAUAAACUAAUAAUAGAAUAAAUAAAAGUAAAAACAUACCGAUUGUUCCCCUCCAAUGUGGUUACCAAGGCAUGAUUUCACAACUAUUUCUUGACAAGGUACGCAUGGUGUUCCAGGUUUAUUCUCAUUUCGCCAUUGUGUUUUCUUCUUCUUCUUCGGCUUUAAUGUAAAUUCUGGGUUAGCUGGAGGCACAGGUCCGUGGCACCUACAUGUACAAGAAGAGAUUUCUAGUAAUAAAAUUUUGGAUGAAUUACAGUAUAUGUGCAUCCAUAGUCUCCGACUCAUUCAAAUAGUAGAUAUUUAAGUAUUUGUAAACUAACCUUUGUUUACAAAUGUGAUCACAAGAAAGUUGUUCUUUGCAGAUCAUUCGACAAGGUGGGCAAGCUCCAUAAUGGCAUUUAUGUUUCUGGCGAAGAACAACAAAGUAACAAACUAGAAAUGUAAGAAACUAUAAGUUUCCUAAACUAACAUAUAUGACAAUCACCCUCUUAACCAAUCCAGAGCUUUUAGUAGUUUCAAUAUAAUAAGAGAGAGUAAACAUAAAAUCGAAUCAAAAUACCCUGGAAACUGAACUGUGCCUACAGAGCCGAGAUACUUGGCAAGGUCUAGGACAUUUUGGAGGUUUUUGGUCCUUUUCAACUCCACAGGGUACCUAUAAAUUAUAGCACAAAAAUAAUUUUCUUUCACUGUAUUUAAUAAUCCAACUAUGGAAAUUAAAUUUGAUGCAACUGUCAGAAUUAAUAAAAUUUAUUCACUCCUUUAAUGACGUAAUGUGGAGUUCGUCUACUAAAGCCCAUCCACAACAUCCAAUUUAUGAUACUUUGCUAUCAAUUUCUGGUAGUAAAAAUGUUUUUUCCUAUGUGUUAAAACUUCAAACUUCAAAAAGGAACAUAAUUUAAUAUAAAGUGAAAAAUUGAAGUCUUGCAGAACUAAGUAAUUUACAAUAUUUCUUCAUGUGCAAAUAUAAAAUAAAAAUCCAUUCAUCCUUCAUGUGCAAGUGAUUUUCUCCACAGAAAAAAAAUAAAAACAAACAGAAAAAAUGGAGUGUACCUCAAAAUGUGUUUCGCCACAAAAACAGGAAAUAGUGACCAUCAAUGGGCAUGGAGAACAAGUACCUCUGAAAAGAAAACCUUGUUAUCAAAGAAAGUAAGUCAUGCACUCAUUUGAUUGACUAUCUAAAUGAGCAAUAAGCAAAAAUAAUUACUAUAUGCAGAUGCAACGUUUAUUUAAAAAUUAAAAGUUUUUACAAGUAAAAAAAUGAGUUGUACAGAUUUUAUUUCACAUACUUUGAUUUAACACUACAAUGGGAUUAUGUGAUUACAAAGAAUUUUAUUCAUCAAGAGCUGGUAUCUGUGAUUAAUAAAACUAUUAGAGUGGAAUCAAUUACCUGUGGCAUGGAGAAGGACAUUUGUGAUUAUUGCACCGAAGUUUUCUGCCACAUAUCUGAACCGUGAAAAUGUUAAGGCUAUUUAAAAAAAAUCAAAUAUAAUGGUAGAUGGUUAAGAGAUUCACCUCUGGGCAAGGUGGGCAAUUACCAUCACAGCAGCGCCGCUUGCAUGCAUGACGACCACAAUCUCGUAACCUUUGGCAUUUUCUUUCACAGCUUAAAUCUUGAUGACAAGGAAUCUAGUAUGAAUAUUGAUUUAAUUACAGAGCAGUAACUAUCAAUUACCUUUUAAGUUUGAACUUUGAAAAACAACAGUUGAAAUAUUAAGACGGCAUUUAAAUCCAAUAUCCUCGGAAAAAAGAGCAUUGUGAUGGAAAAUACAUAUUUUUAAAUAAUAACUAGAAAUCACCUCCUUCUUUAAACUCCCACAUCUACAAAACUUCAACUUGAUAAUUCUGCAAGUUUCAGCACAUUUCCCACGGUGACACCGUUCUGGACACCUAUGAAGAUUGCAGCUUAGCUUCUUUUCACAUGUUGACCCACAUGUUGGUACUAUAGCAUCACAUGUCAUGCCAUGGUAGAACUUCUUCCCGCAAGGGCAAGUUCUCUUCCCUUUCAGUGGACAAUCCCCACAACUUCCAGGAUGACAACCCCUUUCGCAAGGAUGUUUCCCGCAAUUAAGUAUCCCAUUGCAACUUGUCUCACAAUGGAAUUCAUGUUCAAAACACUCCCUGACUUCCUCCAAUCUCCCACACAAACACUUAUACACACUUUUCACUCUGCAAGGAGGGCAAAUACCCUCAUGACAUUUCUCUGGACACUUAUGUAGCCCACAAGCCGACAACCUACAACAUUGUUUGUUACAAGAAAAUGCCUUGAGAGCACAUCGCCGGACAUCUUUUGUUGACCCACAAAAACACUGAGAUGACACAAACUUGGGACAGGGUGGGCAGGGACCAGGAUGGCAAAGUAAUAGACAUUCAUGCCCGCAUGAUCCACGCAAUGACCGACCACAAAUCUCACCACAAGAAUGAGGAAGAAUCCAUGGAUCGGGAGGUGGGCUCUCAACCUUCCCACAGAAACAAAGGUACUCUCGAGGAAUCAAAUCCUUAGCAUAGUUCAACCUAUUAAGAUCAAUCCCACAAUCCACAAAAAAAAAUCAGUCAAGUCUUUCAAGUAUUCAAACUUCAUUUACUAUAUAUGGUAUGUGAGUGACAUGGUUUUAAAUUCCAAUGAUUUAAUUUUGAAUGAAAAUCCAAAUUCCAAAAUAGUUUAACAGUAAUAGUAUGAGUGUAAACAAAAACACAAUAAAUAAAAAAGAGAUUUAGUUUUCAAAUCAACCCAAAAUUUGAGAAUUGCAAAACCUGAAAAAACUGAUAAAAAUCCAAAUAUGACCUGCACUUUGGGCAAUGCCAAUUGUUAGAGGAUGAUGACGAUGCAGAAGAAACAGAAGAAGAUGGGAGGAUCGAAGAACACUGCUGUGCCCAGGACUGGAUGCACACAAGAUGGAAGAGCACAUAACAUCCAGAUGAGCACGACCAGACGGGAUCCGAAAUCCGGAUGCGUUCAAGACAAAUAAGGCAUGCUGAGAACUGCCCUCGAUUCGAGCAUCCUGCGAGGAAAGAUCUGAUUUUGGAAAGAUCUGCAUCUAGAGCUCCACCUCCAGAUACAUGGAGAUAAGUAGAGAAGACGGAAUUCUCUAGAGCAGAUGAGGGUUGGGAUUGAGACUCUGAUUCGGAGUCACCUCCACUGGCGCUACUUUCAUCCGAUUCAGAGAAAACCGUUGCUGUAAUGGUAUCUAGUGGAGGUUUCAAAGGGGGGAAGUGUCUAGAUCCGCCGGCGGCUGCGGCGUAGGAAGUAGCAGUAGGCAUCUCUUUUUUUACAAGAAUCAAUCGUAGACUCCGGCGAUCUCGUCGGAUUUAUGUUUAGUGCAUUUUGCAUCUAAUCCCUCCUGUUUUUUGAAAUUAAUUAUAAACUGUAAAUACUAAUUCUCUGGAGCACAUCUUCACCAUACUCCCACCACCACCCCUACGUUUGCACACAACUGUCGACUUAAUUGAUUGAUGGCAAAUUCGACCCUUAUCUUCUUUCGAGAAGGAGGGGAAGGAGGAUGAUCAACGGACUAUGGUUGUGUAAAAGUGUCGGACCCUCGGAUAGGUGGACACGAGCACAUGACGGGCGGAAGCAUAUCCCAAUCUCUUUGAAAGGUUUAUGAAACUGAGAUGAGAGGAAGAGGUGUAUGAAAACCUGAGGUUAGACGUGUAGACGAGUUUUUAGAGAGUGUAUGAUCUAGUUGUCUUUUUUUUAUAUUAUAAGUUGUAUUACUUGUAACCUUCAAAAAGAAAUUUACCACGAUUGUCACAUGAUGUAUAUAUAUUUAUAUUUUUUUGAAUAUAUAUUUACCACGAUUUUAUUUAAAAAAGAAAUUAAAAAAAAAACGUACACAAAGAGACUUGCUUGAACGGAUCUUGAGUCCUCAGAAACAUUAAUAGUUAAUAUAACCAGUUAAGACUUAAUCUUCCUAUCUAUCAUACUCUAUCAUAGAAACAUUGUAGCAUUAAAAAUUUGCCUAAUAUUUUUAGAUAGACUGAGACUUAAUUAGGUCAGUUGAGAUUUAACCAGUAUGCAUCAAUGUAUUAUCACUGAUAUAUUUCUAUAUUUACGAAUACGAUUAACCAACAGCUAAUUAAGUCGAUCGAGUAUGGAGGUCACGGAUAUCAAUAUAUUGUCACAGAUUUAUUGUUAUAUUUCUGAUUUAGGAUGUCAUUAAAAAAAUCAGUCUUUCUUUUGAUCCAGAGUUUUACAAAAAAAGUUGUCGUCACUUUGUCACCCUUGGAGACGACUUUUACGAUGAAAGUAUAGAAGAUCAAUCUCUUGAGACAGCGUAUCUAGUUAUUUUAUAACUAUACUACAUAACUAAUAGAAGAUCGAGAUCGUGAAUAGGUUUCUUGUUUAUUUAUUUUUACUUUUUAUUCUUUAUUUUGUAAUUUGAACAUUUUUUUUUUAAUGAAAUUUAAUUACUUUAAAAAAAAAAAACAGCUUUGUUGAGGAACUAAUUAUAAUUAAAGAUCUGAUUAACUCAGCCAACCUUAACCCAAACCCUAGCUAAAAUUGCUUAUGCAUACAAACAAGAGGAUAAAUUAAAAACAAUAACAUAGAGAGAGCUAGGGAUUUUUAUUUAGGAUGUUUCAUGAAUCAUGAGAUAGGUAUAUGUCUUCCACAAAUUAAAGCUUAUAUAACAACAAUAUUUAGAGAUAUAGUUCAAGUAAUAUCAAAUCUCAUUAAAAGCUUUACUGAUGCCAACUUAUCCCCGUUGCGAUCUAAAAGAGGAACCGCUCUAAUCCCAUUCUUCAACUCCGACACCGGAAAAGAAACUUGGCCAGCAAAAUCAUCCUUGCCCACCUCAGAAUCACUGACUUCAAUACUAAGAACUGCAAGUUCAGGAACAGUUAAUGGGAAACUAAAUUCCUCUUUCCAAACAGGCGUCCAAGAGUCCUCUACUUUCUUUGUUUUGAAUGUUACUGCAUCACUUGGGGCUCCGAAAACUCCAAUCUAUAUAUAUAUAUAUUCAUACAAAUCAGUAAAUAGAAUUGUCAUUAAAAAAGAUAAACCCUAGCUAAUUUUAACUGACCUCAACAUAAAAGUCUGGAGGAGAACAUAUGUCGAAAUAAGAUUUUGUGAAAUCAGAUCUCCAUCCAUGUCCUGUGUAAAUCUUCACCUGUGUAUAUAUACAUUAAUUAGCACCAUCACUUGAUAUAUAUAUAUUAAAUCUUCAUUUGGCUUUUCUACCUUUAACGUCUUCUUCACUGGUAGCGGUACUAAAGUUGAUUGGGGAUGGAGAUGAUUGUGCAAUAAGAAGUUUGGUUUUUUGACAUAACCACAACCUCCAUUGGCCAAGAAGAAACCAUGCAUAAGCCAGAGAAACCUUCCAUCUCCUUGCAUAUUGAAAGCAACCAUUUGGGCUCCAUUUAUCCACCCCGGAAAUGGGUCGUAAUUUGACGAGUCGAUACGUAAACCUUUCGGAUACACUCUGAUGAUAUUGUUAAGGGAAAACCUUGCCAAGUCAGGUGCAUAAGAUUCCGAAGCUUCUUGAAGAUCCGAUUCUUCUAGGUUAAGCUGGCUUACAUUAUUAGAAUCGAUGGCGCUUAAAGUUUCUUUUAGAAGACCAUCCUUUGGCUUCCCAUCUUUAAUUGUGAUUAUGUUAUUGUAUUCAGAUGAUGUAUUAACAUCGGUCGGAGGUUCUGCUGAGACGAUAAUCCGAUUCAUCAACGAUUGGGGUGAUGGAAAUUCUUUCAUCGAAGAAAUCUUUGGGUAGAACAAUAAAUCUCCAAACGUUUGUUUAACCAUCUGUAAAGAAAAUAGGAAACGAUUUAUGUGAGAUCGAUAUUAUAUCAGAUAUCCUUAAUCUUGUCGUUAAUUUUAAAUUCAACGCUUCUUUUGAAAUAGUUAAAUAUAAACAGAAUAUGACACAAAUCGAUCUCAAUGUUUUAACCCUAGAUUUAGAAAAUCAACAUGUAUAUAAGAUCAAAAAAAUAUACCGUGGCUGCUUUGGCUUGAAGUUCAGGAGUGAGAUGGUUCUCAAAGUUUAGUACAACAGGAUAUGGAGAAGCAGAAAAUGCAUGUUCUUUAAUUGCCUCCAAGCAAUCGACGAAUUUCACUCGAGAAGUAAGCGUGCUAUACGUACAUCAAAAUUUUAAUUUUAAACCCUAAUUACUACUUAAGAUAAACCUCAAUGAAUUUCGAAGCUAGAUAAUAUAUCAACGACUUACUUGCCAUGGUAAACCUCUAUAUCAUCAUCAGAGGAAUUGGGCCAAAUAUCUAGCUCAAUAACUCUAACACCUUUUUGAAGAGCUUUUAUGAUCGGGUCGACACCACUUUCACUGGUGAGUUGAUUCCCAGACAAGUAGGAGUUAUGUCCGGUGAACACAAAAUAAUGUGAGAGAGGAGCAUGCAUAUCAUCUUUAACCUACAUACCAUAUAUAUAUGAAUGUGUAAAAAUCCACUGAUUAAAAUCCCAUGCAUCUCAAUGGUGUUUCAAAACUCGAGAUAAAAAUAGACAGACAAAAUCAGAUAUCUCUAAGUUAUAUAUAACUAAAUUUUAAUUUAGAAAGAAAAGCGAACCUCAGAGGCCUUAAUGGGCGAAUUGAGCUCAACGUCGAAGAGAUAGCGAUGGAAGUCUUUCAACGAAAGUGGAUGCUUAAACUUAUGCUUAAAUAUAGUUUCCCCAAUCUUUCUAGCUUCUUCAUCUGUAUUUCCCUGCCGGUGGACCAAGAAGUCAUGGAGAUUCUUGGUGGACAUCUUUGUGGAACUGUAGUUAGCGAAAACCUCCUUCACGUCUGACGGUGGGUCGGCCUCUCCCAACCAAAACUCCUUAGUAAAUAAGAAAAGCAGACACAUCCUUCCCGGUUAGAAUAUGUGGAUUUAACGUUAGUCGUUGAACUUUCCGAUCAAAGUACUCCGGCCUCCCUCGUUCUUGUUGCAUCUCUGCUACUUGAGGUAGUUAUAUAUAUAUAUAGAUCUCUUAAUUAAUUAGAGAUGAUAUAAGAUAAGGUAGCUAGCUAGAUAUUCUUGCACGUUUUACACGACUAUACCUAUCAUUGGGUCCAUAUAUUUAACUUAAAGUCAAAGAGAUUGCGUAUAUAAUUGAACACAAAGAUUUAAUUUGACUUUUUCGUUUGUUGUCUUUUUCUAAACACAAUGAUUGAUGGGUAUUUUUCAACAAAAUUUAAAAAUGUCUACUAUCAGAUCGUAAUGUAAAUUUAAUCAAAGUUAUUUACUUUAAUUGUGACAAAUUGAGUUAAUAUUCGAAUUAUAAAUUGAAAGUCUUCAAUAAUAGGGAUAGUAAUAGUAAUUUACACUCAGAUCGAAUUUCUCAUAGCUAGCAGAUUUCAAGAAAAUUCGAAUUUCGUUAGAAUCUUCACGGAUUUGUAUUUAUUCCCUUGACGAUCUGAAAGCUGAACAGCUCGGAUUCCUGGCUUCAACUCCAACACUGGAAAACAAAUUUGGCCGCCGAAAUCAUCUCUUCCCACCCCAGAAUCUAGAACUAUGAAGCUAAGAAUAGCAAGUUCGGGAACGAUUAACGGAAAACUAAAUUCCUCGUCCCAAAUAGGGUUCCAGGAAUUUCUAACAUGCUUAGUGUUGAAUAUAAUUUCAUCACUUGGGGCUCCAGCAAUUCCUACCUGUAUUAAUGAAAAUAUAACAGAUGAUAUAUAUAUAUAUAUCACCCAAAAUUAAGUAAACAUUUUUUUAUCUUGUAAAAUAUAUGUAUCAUCGAUCUUUAGAAGAAGAAGAAAAAAUUACAAACCCUAAUUUAUUUAAUUCACCUCUAUGUAGAAGUCUGGUGGAGAAAAUGAGUCAAAAUGGUUUUUCUUGAAAUCAUCUUUCCAUCCAUCUCCCAGAUAAAUUUUGACCUGCAUUUAUACAGUAUAAUUAAGUAAUUGAAAAGAAGAAAUUUUCGCAACAAAGGGGUAGUGAUCAAUUAAACCUUCAAUGUCAUCUUUAUGGGGCGAAUUAUAUUUUCCUGCAAAUGAUAUAGAGGAUCGGAUACUAAGUAGUCGGGUUUUUUGACAUAACCAGAACCUCCAUUGGCCAAGAAGAAACCAUGCAUAAGCCAGAGAAACUUACUAUCUCCUUGCAUAUUGAAAGCAACCAUUUGGGCUCCAUUUACCCACCCAGGAAAUGGGUCGUAAUUCGACGAGCCGAUACGUAAACCUUUCGGAUACACUCUAAUGAUGUUCUUUUGUGAGAAUCUAACCAUGUCGGGAGCGUAUAAUUCCGAAGCUUCUUCAAGCAAAGAUUCACUGAUGUUAAGUUGUCCCACACCUUCAUCACAAAUAUCAGGGUUUUUGUCUAUCAAGGCUUCUUUUAGAAGCCCAUCCUUUGGUUUUCCGUCUUUAAUCGUGAUUACUUGGUUGUAUUUUCCAGAUUCUUCUUCUGUUCCUUCCUCUCGAUGCUCUGCGGAGACGAUGAUCCGAUUCAUCAAAGACUGAGGCGAUGGGAAUUCAUCCAUAGAAUUACAAUUUGGGUAGAAUAAUGAUUCUCCAAACGUCUCUUCGAUCAUCUGUAAAAUUAAACAGAGAACAUUGAAUGUGAUUAAAAUUAAACAUCAAAUGUAAAAAAAAGUGUGAAAACUCAUCUCAACCCUUUAUUUUAUACCUUCAGAUCAAUCUCAACCCUCUAUUUCAUACCUUUCUACAAUCAGAAUAUAUACUGUGUACCUGUGCAGUUUUGGCUUGAAGAUCUGGAGUAAGGUGGUUCUCUAAGUUGAGUACAACGGGAUACGGAGAAACGGAAAAAGCGUGCUCUUUAAUGGCUUCCAAACAAUCCUUGAGUUUGACAUGAGAUGUUAUUGUGCUGCAAAAAUUAUAAAAAAAAAGAAAAGAAAAGGUGAGAUAUUGAUCAGUCAAAACAUACUUUCGUCUACGGCUAACUGAUCUUACCUUCCAUGGUAAACAUCUAUGUCGUCAUCAGAAGAAUUAGCCCAAAUGUCCAAUUCAAUGACUCUAACUCCUCUUUGAAGAGCUUUUAUGAUCGGAUCAACACCACUGUUGCUGGUGAGUUGAUUUCCAGUCAAGUAGGAGUUAUGACCAGUGAACACAUAAUAAUGUGAUAGAGGAGCAUGCAUAUCAUCCCGGACCUAAACAAAAUACAGACACUACACGCUAAUUCAUCUACUGCAAUAGAAAUCAUCCCAAUCAAGAAUGCACCGUUAACCUAUAUAUACCUCUGAGGGUCUGAUAGGCGGAUUGAGCUCAACAUCGAAGAGAUAGUUUUGAAAGUGUUCUAACGAAAGACCAUUGGGUGAUAUAAUUCGCUCUAUGAUCUCUCUAGCUUCUUCCUCUGUGUGGCCUUGUUGGUCAACCAAGAAAGAGUGGAGAUCGUCGAUUGCGCCCAAAGCGGAAAACGACUCGUUCACGUCUGAGAGUGAGUCCAUGGCACCCCUGAGUGACCAAAAUCGAUGAUGGGUAGUUAGUUACUAGCUAGUUAGCUAGAUAGCUUCUUGUAUGCGGAGUGAGAUAAAGUUAGAUAUAGAUCUUGAUAAGAUCUAGCUAGAUGGGAUGAUAUUCAAUUAUUGAUGGAACUUUAAUUUAUGUUUGUUUGUUAGGUGUUAGAUCACUGUUUUACAGUUGGAAAAUUCAAUGUGUUGUCAUAGACGUCAUAUAUAGGCUCCAUCUGGACCAUACAAUUGAAGACACAAGUAGACUUGUAACUACUAUCCUAUUCCUGCAUAUGAGGAUAAUAUUGGGAUAAUAAAAUCCGAAUCUGAAUUCAAAUAAAUUUUUGGAUAUCUCAAAAAUUCAAAUUUGCUUAACUUUUUAUAAAAAAUUAUAAAAUCAUCAUCCAUAAUAAAGUCAAUUAAUAAUUAAUUAAUCUCGUUAAAAUCUUAAAUAAUAAUAUUAUUAAUUUAUUAAAUUUAUAGAUAAUAAAUUAAUAAUAUUAUUAUAUAUUUAUCCGGACGGAUUCGAAUAUUUGGAUAUUCGUAUCCAAAAUUAUUAAACGAAUUGGAUUUUAACAAAGGAUAUUGAUGAUGUCCGAAUCCGUCCGAAUAAUUUUUGGAUAUUAAUUUUAAUAUUUGAAUAUGUAUCUAAAAUUCAGAUAUCCAAUUAUUGAUAUAUUUGAAUAGACAUAUUCGAAUUUGAAAACGGAUACGGAUUUCGAUAUACCAUUUGUAUAUAUGGAGCUCACCACAUCCUUCAAUUCAGGUGAUAUAUGUGGAGGUCAACAAGGGAGAGGAAGGCUUCAAAUAAACUUAAAGACUAUUGUUGCUUCUUUGUCAGUAGCAAGGGUACUUUCAAAGACACAUAUAUAUCCUGUGCAGGACUAAUGGAGAUAUAACAGACUUUCAACCUCCUACACUGAUUUCUUGAAAAAAGUGUCCCUAACUUCUGAACCAUCAUCUUAUAAUGAGGCUUAUAAGGAUCCUGAAUGGGCGAAGGCCACUUGAGCUAAAUGAAAUAGGGACCUUGUGUGACUGUGUCUAAACCAAUAGACAUGAAGGUGAUAUGGUCUAGAUGGGUAUUUAAUGUUAAACAUAAAUCUAAUGGAAUUGUUGAGAGGCUAAAAGCAAGGUUAGUUGCAAAAGGACACAAAGAUUUGAGGGAUUUAACUACAAGAAAAUUCUCUCCUUUGGUCAAAAUAGUGUCAGUCAGAACACUCAUUGCAGUUGCCUCAACUAAAAUAUGGGAAAUCUACCAAAUUGAUGUUAGUAAUGCAAUUAUAUGAUGAUUUGACAGAAAACAUUUUCAUGACCCCACCUCCUAGUAUGCUACCGGAUGGUGACGAUGUGGGUCUGUAAAUUUAAAAAAUAUCUAUAUGUCUUCAACAGGCCAACAAAAACUGUAUCAAAAAUUCACACCAUCUCUUACAACCUUUGGGUAUAAAUAAUCUUAUGCUCUGUUUUUCAAAACCACAUCCAACUCAUACACUUGUUUACUUAUAUAUAUAUAUAUACUCAUAUGCACGGUGAUCACCGUGCGGUACGUGCAUCUGAUGUCGUCCGAUGACAUCGGACGGUCCCGACCAUGGUACGGUGCCCUUCACCAUGGUCGGAAUACUGCGGUGAUGACGUCACGACACUACAAAAAAAAGGACCUUGUAUGGCGGCCUUUAGAUGGCGGAUUUCCGCCAUCAAUACUUCAAUAGUUUAGAUGGCGGAAAUCCGCCAUCUAUUCUUUCAGUCCGCCGAGGAAACGUUUUGGCUCGACGGCGGUUCGGAAUUUUUUUCGAUGGCGGUGUUUAGAUGGCGGAAAUCCGCCAUCUAAACUAUCCCGCCCAAAAUUUCGAAUCUCCCCCAAUUUCCAGCCCGAUUACCCGAUUAAAAUGACUUAAGAUGGCGGAAAUCCGCCAUCUUAAGUCAUCGGGGACUCGGGCGGAAAAAGCCCGCCCAAAUUUCGAUUGGGCGGACUUUCACUUAAGUGCUGGCGGCACUUAAGUGUACUUACAUGGCGGAUUUCCGCCAUGUAAGAUUUGGGGUUUAUUAAAAACCCCAAAUCCAGACAGAACGCGUUUGUUCUGUCUUGCUUUGGAGUGAAGUGCUGCCGCCGUUCUGUUCCCGUCGAUUCGUCCGUGCCGCCGUUCUGUUCCGACUCCGUCCGCCGUCGCCGACUCCGAUCUCGCCUCCGGUGGUGGCCGUUCUUGCUUUGGUCUGUCCGUUCUUCCUUUGGUCGGUCCCUUCUUGCUUUGGUGAGAUAUAUUACUUAUAUGUUUUAAUAUUUGUUUUAUAUUUUUGAUUUUGAUUUUGUUUUUUAGGGUAUCUUUGAUUGUUUUUGGGUAUCUUUGAUUGUUUAUCUUUGAUUGUAUUAAUAUAUUCCAUGUCCAUAUAUUUUUAAUCUUUGGGUAUUUCUAUUUUUAAUCUAUUCAAUGUAAUGUUUACAUUUUGAUCUAUUUACUGGAAUUAAUCGAUCUAUUCACCAUGUUUAGAUUUACUGGAAUUUAUACUGGAAUUAAUCAAUUUACAUUUUGAUCUAUUUAGAAUAUAUGUUUAAAUCGCUAAUGUUGAAUAUUGUAUUUGAAUAAAGGAUUUCGGUGAAGAAAUCGCCGCUGCUCUCCGCCUGUCUCCCCGCCGGUUCUCGACGUCUCUGUGAUCGCCCUCUCCGGUUCGAUCUGUGAAGGUAUGUGGAUUUCAAUUUUUCAUUUUUUUCAUUUUUUUCGUUUUUCAUUUGAUUUUUUGAUUUGUAAUUUCUUAAUGAUGGUUUGUGAAUGAUGGUUUGAUUUAAUUGGUUUGAAUAAUUGCUGUGAAUUUCAAUAAUGUUGAAUAGGUUUGUGAAUGAUUUAAUGGGUUUGUGAAUGGGUUUGUGAAUGAUGAAUGGGUUUGUGAAUGAUUGACAUUUCUAUUUUUAGUGGACUGCGAUACUUAUGUUGUAUUGAAAAGCGAGGAUCGAUGAACCAAAUAAUAGUUCUGGUCUUAUCUUCUGUUUAAACUUAGUUGUAGAUCAUCUUUUAAUCUUAGUGAAAUUUCAUCUCUCUAACAUCAUGAGUCCAAACAUAUACUAUAAAUAUACAAGCUUGUUUCAAGAUAUAGAUUGUGUGAUUGUAAUACAAAUUAUUUGAUAAUAACCCAUACAGAUUAGAAUAAAUUAAAAUUAAAUCAAAUACAAAUACAAAUACAAAUGUUAAACAUGCCUUGUGUAGCUGUGUUCCUAGGCAGUAAUUUCUUUGAGGAAUAUUGAGGAUUGUAAAUGGUUUAUCUAUAUUUGAGGAUUGAGGAUUGUAAAUGUAUUGAUUGAGGAUUGAGUAUUGUUAAUUUGGUUUUGGUUUGACUAUUUGGGUUUUGGUUUUUGUUUCUCAAUUUCCUAUUAUCUUUUUAUUUCUUUUCUAUGUAUCUCUUAUUUUGGUUUGUUGCUCGAAUUUUGUUUAUCUAUUUGUUGCUCGCAUGUUUAUGUUUAUUUGAAUGGUUUGAUGUUUUGAUUUCAAGGUGGUUUUGUUAUAGUUUAUGAUGAAGAUGCAUGUGUCUACUAUUUUAGUUUUGAUUUCAAUAUAUGAAUAAGAAUUUAUCAUGUUGUGUUUUUGAUAUUUAAGAAUUUCAAUGCAUGAUUUAAUAAUAAUUAUGAAAUGUGAAGAUUUUGUUUUAAUUUUAAUGAUUUAUUUAAUUUAAAUAAUAAGUGUUUCUAAUUUAAGUAAAUAAUUACUGAUUUUAGAUAAUGUAGAAAAUAAUGAAAUUAAAUAUUUUAUUUACUGUUUUUAAUUAAAUUUAUAAUAAAUAAAUAAAUAAAUAAUUAACUGUUUUUAAUAAAUUAAGUAAUUAAAUUAAUUAUUUUGUCUUACACUUGUAAUUAAUUAAUUUGCAUGUAAUUAUAAAUGUGUUAAUUAGUAAUUAUUAAAUUGAAUGUUUUUAAUGAUUUGUUAACUAAUAAUUAUAAAAUUGUAUCAAAAUAAUAUGUUAAUUAAAAUGUUAAUUAAAUAAUUAGAAAAAAUUUAAUUACUGUGUCUUAAUAAUUUAAAAUUAAAAUAAUUAGUUAUUAAAAUAAUUAAAAUAAUGUUUUGAAUUAAUUAAAUGACAUACUGUUUUUAAAUAAUUAAAUAAUGAAAGUUUUUCAUAUUUGAAAUUAAUCAAUUAUUUUACAAUUAUUUCAUGAAUUAAAAUAAUUAAAAUAAAUAUUUCAUAUUUUAAAUUAAAAUAAUUAAAUUUUUUAUUUAAUCAACUUAUUUGUAAAUUAAUUAAAUAAUUGUAAUUAAAUAUCAAUGUAAUUAAUAAUUUACAUGAAUCUAUAUCUUUAUUAAUUAGUUGCAUGAAAAAAAAUUGUUUUAAUUAUUUUAUGUUUUUAAAUUAUUUAAUAAAUAAUUAAAAUAUUAAAAUAAUUUUUGUUUUUAAAUAAUUUAAAAUUUAUAUAAAAUAUUUAAUGUGUUUUUGAUUUGUUAUAGGUUUUUUAAAAUCAAGAUUGAAGUAAGUUUUGGAUUGAAGAAAAGCUCAUUUGCGGUAAAAAUUAAAUAAUUUUAUUUAAUAAAUUUAUUAUCAAUUUAUUUAAUUUGUUGUUAAAAUAAAUUAUUAAAUUAUCAUUUUAAUUAUCAAAUGAAAUAAAAAUAAUUAGUAUUUUAUUAAUUGAUUGACAAUUAUUAAAUAUUAAUAUUUUAGUAAUAAAAUAUUUGCAUGAAAUAAUAUAUGAUCAUUUUAAAUAGAAAUAAUUUAAUUAAUUAUUAAAUUGAAAUAAUAAUGAUUAAUUUGUAUGAAAUUAUUAUUUUUUUAAAUAAUUAGUAAUUAUUAAAUUGAAAUGUUAAUGAUUAAUUAGCCUGAAAUUAAAAAUUUGUUAAUUAAUUAAUAAUUAUUAAAUUGAAAUGUUAAUGAAUAUAAUUUGCAUGAAAUAAUAGAAAUCAUAAUGAUUAGAAAUUAUUUAAUUAAUUAUUAAAUUGAAAUAAUAAUGAUUAAUUUGUAUGAAAUUAUUAUUUUUUUAAAUAAUUAGUAAUUAUUAAAUUGAAAUGUUAAUGAUUAAUUAGCCUGAAAUUAAAAAUUUGUUAAUUAAUUAAUAAUUAUUAAAUGAAAUGUUAAUGAAUAUAAUUUGCAUGAAAUUAUAGAAAUCAUAAUGAAUAAUUCCAUGAAAUGAUUAAUUAAUUAUUUGUUUAAUUUGUUUAAAAAAUAUUAAAUUAAUUAAUUUAAUAUUUUUUUAGAUUUUAAGAAAUGCCACGUAGAGUGAAGCAAUUACCUCGUAGGAGGGCUUUACCAUCCAAUCCCCAAGAUGCUUUCCGGUUUUAUCUCCCGGUUCAUCCAGCACCGGCUUAUCCCGCACCGUCGGAACCUGUUCGUCCAGCACCGGCCUAUCCCGCACCGUCGGAACCUGUUCGUCCAGCACCGGCCUAUCCCGCACCGCCGGCACCUGUUCGUCCAGCACCGGCCCCUCUAGUUCCGCAACCAGCAACUCCGAAGAAAGUCGUUUAUGAAACGGAUUCGGAAUAGUUCAAUAAUUAGCUAGAUUUUCCCAAAAAAAUUGAACUAUAACUAAUAUUGUAAUAGUCAAUUAAUUUUUAUCUAAUUAAUUAUAAUUCGAUAAAAAUUUUAAUUUUUAGGAUAAUGUCGAACGUUAUGAAAGUACCCGAUAAAGCUUGGAUGAGUUUAGAUCGGUUUUCGAAAGAAUACGGCGAAGGGUUAACAGCUUUUACUAAUUUCGCCAUUUCGAAUUCGACUCAUCCAGAAGGUUAUUUACCAUGUCCAUGCUCGUCCUGCACGAAUAGUGAAGUGAUUCCUAUAAAGGAGAUGAGGAAGCAUAUUUUCAUAAAUGGUUGGUUGAAACAUUACGAUGUUUGGACGCGUCACGGAGAGUUACCGAGUAGAUAUGGUGAGAAAAAAGUGAAACGAAAAGAAACAGUGCCGGAAACUGGUAACGAUAUGAUUGGAUUGGUUCGUGCGGUUUACGAAGAACAUGUAGUUGACAAUACAGUCGACGAAGAUUUUCUCGAAACAGAACCUCUCGAAUACGAACCAGUUCAGGAAGAUCCAGUCGAUGUAGAUCCAGUCGACGAAGAUCCAGAGCAGAGAUAUGACGAUUCGUUCUUACGCCGUCUAAAAGAAGGUGAAGAACAGUUAUAUCCAGGUUGCACUGAGUUUUCCAAACUAUCUUUUAUCUUGGAAUUGUAUCAGUUGAAAUGCGACAAUCAUUGGAGUGAUAAAAGUUUUCAGAAAUUACUAUCCAUCAUGCGUCGUGCUAUUCCAAAUGGGGAAUAUGUAGGCUGAAUAUGAUUUAAGUGGAAGCAAAGCUGCACAAACUUACAUCAAUGGCAGGCUGAACAAACUUUGGAGGAGCAACCAUAAUUCGCUGAUUAAAACUUAUGCCUCUGAUCCUGAUAUGACAGAACAAGACAUCUUAGCGACUCUUCCGCCGUAUGUCAGCAAACCUCAAUUUCUAAAUAAAUUGAGACAGCAUCGUUCGGAAAAAGGAAAGGUACGUAUAUGUAUAUAUAUAUAUUUAUUAUAUUAAUUAUUUUUGAAACUUAUUAUUUUUUUUAAUUUCAGCAAAUUUCCGAGAUAAACACCGCGAACCGAGCGAAUCAAAUGACACAUCACGCUGGUUCAAAAGGAUUAGCGCAAAGACGUCAUGAAUUGGUAAUUUUUUUUUAUUUUUUAUAUUUUUUUUAUAUAUUAAUGAUUUAUGUGAAUAUAGAUGCAACAAGGAAGGAGUGAAGUCGAAGCUUGGUCAGAGACUUUACAAAUGACUUAUAAAGGAAGCGAUAAAGUUGUAAGUAUUUUUUAAAAAUUAUUUAUAUUUUCUAAUUUCUAUUUUCAUUGUUUGAUUUUGUUAUUCUUUCAGCUUGAAGCCACGGAUUUUAUCAAAACUCCAGAGGCAAAAUCGUGGGCUGAAUCUGAAUCAAUGACUCCAAUUGUAAGUUCCAUUUAUUAUUUUAAUUAUAUUUUGUUUUUCUUAUUUUUUUUUUAUAACGCAGCAAUUUAUCGAAGCGACGGUCAACAAGACUUUCGGCAAAAGUAAGAAGAAUCGAAUAAUUGGAAUCGGAGAAGCUGCAAGUAUGGUGAGCACAACAAACGAAAGAUGGGCUGCUCCAAAUUGGAAAGGAAAAGAGCCGAUCUCAGAGAGCACGACUGUUGAAGCACCACCAGAUGCAGUAUGGUCGGAAAAAUUCAAAGCAUUGGAGGUAUUUACAAUAUAUUUUAAUAAUUUUGUUGAUUACCGAACUCAUUGUUGUUUUCAUUUUCAGAACAAGUGUAACGAGAGUCAAAAAGACGUCUCGAAAUACAAGAAAAAGUUCAAUGCUAUGAAAUCCUAUAUGAAGAAAUUGAACAAGACUUUGAAGACUUCUGGACUAGACAUGACGCAGAUGGUUUCUACUUCAAAGUCAACAAUACCGUCUGCAUUCGGAUCAGAUAAUUCUGAUUCUGAUUCAGAAGACUCGCUUUCAGACGAGUGUUGAUAAACAAUUUUUUUUUUCUUAUUAAAACUUCGAAUGUUUAACGAUUAUGUAAUUUAAUUUUUUUUUAAUAAAAAACAUCGAUUUCCAUUUCUAUUUCAAAUCGUUUCCUCAAAUAUCGCUUUUAUUUCGACAAACAACGAUUCGAACGCACAAUAUAGAAUCCUGAUUUAAAAAAAAAUUGUAAAAAACAUUGUAUGGCGGAUUUCCGCCAUCUAAAGCUGGGCACAAUCGCCCUCUCCCACGAAUAGAUGGCGGAUAUCCGCCAUCUAUAAACUAAGGGAACCGCCGGCUGUACUUUAGAUGGCGGAAAUCCGCCAUCUAAAGGUCCAGGGAUAGUCGGCGGACAUCCGCCGUCAAUGAAAUUAACCGCCAUCAAUGAAUUGGCGCCAAAUUAUUCCCGCGCCAUAUUUUAGAUGGCGGAUUUCCGCCAUCUAAAACUUUUCAAUUCGCGCCAAAAUUUUCAGUUUAGAUGGCGGAAAUCCGCCAUCUAAACUAUUUUUGGUGGGAAAUGGGGAUGGAUAAUAGAUGGCGGUCUUUAGAUGGCGGUUUACGGGUUUUAAUGGCGGUGUCCAAGAUGGCGGGCUUUAGAUGGCGGAUUUCCGCCGAGGAUCACUUUAGAUGGCGGAAAUCCGCCAUCUAAAGACCGCCAUACAAGGUCGGAUUUCUUGUAGUGCGAGAUCUGGUACAGUGUCGUCCGAUGACGUACCGUCGGUCGGUUAGAUUUGGUAUCAGCACUGUACGUACGUACCGCACGAACGGACCACGCGUAUAUACAUAUACACACCCAGUAUCAGGAAUAGUACGUCUGUUCCUGAUACGUGGUGCGGUACUUGUGGGACGACAUUACGUGAUGACUGCUCGUGAUGACGUCCCGCAUAUCAAUCCCAAAAUUGAUAUGUGAUGGUUUGGUAUAGAGUAUAUACGCGUGGUAUUACAAGACAAUCUAUUACAAGUGUAUUACAAAUGUUCUCCCCCUCCUUUACAUUCAACCCCUAGGGGUAUUUAUACACUUUCCUACUGGACCAGACCUUCUUUCACUGAUCAAGUGGGUCUGGUCUGAUGGACCAGAGGUAUCAUCAAUAUGAAAGUUAUGAAGGAAUGAGUGGAGGAACACAAGAUUAAGUUCUACAGUGGGGACGCCUAUGUCGCUGCCAUGAAUGAAGUGUGGAAAGAAAUCGGUGUAACGGAAGGCUGCGAAGAAGAAGGUCUGCAAAACAGAAUUCUCCGACAAGGCUGUGGGAAUCUGGACUUCAAGACCGAUUCCGUUGUAAGGAACAGCUCGAAGAAUCACUAUUGCGGCAGCUGCGACUACGGAUGUCGGAACGCGUGAUGUCCUCUGCGGAACUCGUGACUCACGAUGUCGGUGUCGCGGAAUCGCGGAUUCCGUGGUUCUGACAUCGCGAGUUCGGAAUUCCGGAUUCCGCGAUUUCAGAAUUUCGGAUUCGGUGGUUCUGGAUGCCGUUCGAUUCCGUGGUUCCGAAUUCCGACCAAUCGCGAGUGGCAUGCGGAACGCGGAAUCGCGAUUCCGUGCCAGUCGAUUGGAAUGAGAACGACAUCACGCGUGAGGUUCCGCACGUGAUGUCCUCUCUGUAACCGUGAUUCAGUCACCACGUACGAACGGUGGAGGAUCGCGACGAUUGGACGGUCGGAUGUGGUGUCCACACCACGUACCACAGUGAACGGGUACCAUUCUAAAAAUGCGCCCUAUAUAUAUAUAUGUGUUGAUGAUCUUAUUAUCUCAGGUGACAUUGACGAAAAUAUCAUUAAACUUAAAGAACACCUCAAUGCCCAUUUUCAUAAUAAAGAUCUAGAGAAUCUUAAAUAUUUUUCUGGGCAUAGAGGUAUCCCAAUCAAAACAAGGAAUUUUUAUUUCUCAAUGAAAGUAUGCCCUAGACAUAUUUCAUGAGUUUAAACAAUUAAGAAGUGCAUCAUCUUCUAUACGACUAUACCUAUGAUAAACAAUCCAUGCCAGUGUCAAAUGAAAAAUUUCUUACUGACCCAUCAAUGUUAGGAAACUGGUUGGAAAACUUCUGUAUCUAACUAUUACCAAACCAGACAUUGCUUAUCCAGUGAGUUACUUAAGCCAAUUUUUGACACUUUCGUCUGGGAUUAAAAAUCCUAAAAUAUUUUAAAAAUGCAUCAGGCAAAUACAUUCUUUAUAAAAGAAAUGUCUCACUUAUGUUGAAUGACCGACUGUCCCAUCACAAAAAAGUCAAUUACAAGUUUCAGCAUAUCAAGAGAGUAUAACUAGAGAAAUGAUCUCUCCUAUAUGUGAAAUAAUUUGACUCCAUUAUUCUUUUAAUGAUCUAUAGGUCAAACAAACAAGUAAUUUUGUGACAGCCAGACUUUUAUUCAUAUAGCAUCCAAUCCUGUAUUUUAUGAGUGCACCAAACACAUUGACUGUCAUUUGAUGUGAAAUCACUUACAAACAGGUUUAUUUCAAUUACAACAUGUGUCAUCCACAAAUCAAUUGGUCGAUAUACUUACAAAACCAACCAGCCUUGACAACUUCAGAAGAACUUUACCCAAGCAAGGAAUACAUGACAUACACUCUUAAGCUUAAGGGGGUAUGGUAUUGAAGUAACAUUAAGUUUAGUAUUUCUAUCAUUUACCCUUGGUCCAUUCUCAAGAGUCAAGGCCUAAUAGCUUAGUUAGUCAAACAAAAAAAAUGAGAAAACCCUGAUUCCCAAAAAUUGUGAUCUUCACGUCCGGCCUUUCAUUCGAUCUUGCGCACUCAUUCUCAACUCACACUCCGCACGCUCUCGACUCUCUGGCCAACGUUUUCAGACUCAACGACAGCGUCGAGAUCGUCGUUCCUGGAGGCCAAGAUCGGACCGUCGAAAUCAGUCGGAAUAGAUCGGUUUCUUCUGAUGAGCUUAUCGGGUCAAGUUCGAGUUUCAAGUUAGGUUGAUCGACAAGAAAGAAAAAAAUUAUAAUUUUGUAUAUCGAUAUUUAAAAAAAAAAUUAUUAAAACUUAAAAUACCUGCCACCCUCACAUAGUUACAGGCCUUAAUACUAUUAGAUUUUUGUUAUUGUGAAUUGUGAGUUUUCAUUUCAUUUUAAUUUAAUUAAUUAUCUGGUCUGAAUGUCCGAUCAUAGAUUCAGAAGUAAUUUUCCAAUUUGUCUCCAGAUCCAUGCCUGUUAUUUUGCAUGGGUCUGGACCUAUUUCGGAUCUAGAGAAUUGUAUUUGCAAGACGUAAAUCUAGAGAUUGUUUUUGUAAACUAGAUACGCCAUUGAAUCUAUUUGAUUUGUAAUUGGUUUAUCAAUUUCAAAUUUUAAUAUUUCUCAAUUUUGAUUGAGUCUAUUUGCUCUGGUAUUUGAUGCACAAGUCAACACAGUCCAAUUAAGUGAAACAACAAGAGUUUGACCUAGUUUUGAUGUCAAAAUGAGAGAUCAAGUAUAUCUCCAUCUAAACAAAUCAGGGUAUAACUUGAAUUAUUAUUUGAUUUUAUUAUAUCAAAAAAAAUCUUCUUUUUCAAAAACUAUAAUUUAUAAUCACAUAUGAGAAAAAAGUGAUAUAUCAGAAUUCACCUUGACAUGUCAAUAUAUAAUUCCAAGUCGGUAAGCACACGAUAGAACUCGAAAAUCUCAUGAACCAAGAAGCCUAUGAUUCGAGUUAUUCCCCCAUACCACAAAACUGUAACAACUUCAACAUAAUUCAAAUUUCAUGAGAAGCUUCACAGAUUUGUGUUGGUUACCUUCAAUGUCCGAAAUUGGAACAGAUCUGAUCCCUGGCCUUAGCUCUGAUACUGGAAAACAAGCAUGGCCACCAAACUCAUCUCUUUCAGCCGUAUCUUCCUCGUGCACUUCAAUAUGAACAACAGCUAGUUCUGGAACAGUUAACGGAAAACUAAAUUCUUCAUUCCAAGUAGGUGUCCAGCAAUUCUCCACCGUCUGUGUCUUCUCCAUUACUACAUCAGAUGGAACUCCGGCAAUUCCUACCUCUGCAUAGAAGUCCGGUAAAGAAAACGAAUCAAAGUCACUUUUUUCGAAAUCUAAUUGCCAUCCAGUUCCCUUAUAUAGUUUCACCUGCAAAACAGCAAUUCAAAACAAUCAGUAAUACAAAUGUGAAACCUACAAACAGAAUCAUUAUUUGAAGAGUUUGAAAGAAUAAUAAACCUUUAAUGUUGUCUUUACAGGUCGAGUUUCUUGUAUAUCGAACGGGUAAUUAUCAGAAUCAACAUCCAGUAAUAUGUCUGGUUUUUUUACAUAACCACAACCUCCAUUAGCCUUGAAGAAGCCUUGCAUCUGCCAAAGUGACUUUCCAAAUCCCUGACAAUGAAAGUUCAUAGUUUAACCAAUCAUUAACAGAUAACAAUACAUAUGAUUGAUGUGUGAUUCAAAGUAUGACAUCAGAUCAAUGGAAUUUUUUAUAUUCUUCAAACAGCAAAAAACUAACCUGCAUGUUGAAUGCAACCAUUUGUGCUCCAUGUGUCCAUCCAAUGAAAGGAUUAUAAUUUGACGAGAAGAUGCGAGCCCCUUUCGGAUAUACUCGGAUGAUAUUCUUUUGGGAAAAUCUACAAAGAGAUUUAUGAAACUAUUUAGAAUGAAGGAUUCUACAAAAGACACUAUGAAAAUUAUCAAGAUUUUAAAUGCACGAUUGCGUUGUGCGCCUCAUGCACCAGGAGUAUCUUGGUAAAUACUUAAAAAAUAUAAAUUUUAUAUAUUUAUAUGCUUAAUUCAGAUAUUUAUAUUCUAUUAUUUUUUGGUUUUUGACUUUUUUCCACCUCAAAACCAGAGGUUGCCAGAGGAAGGAGCACCGGAUUGGUGGAGGAUUAGGGAAAUUUUCCAGUUCUGGAAAAAAAGCAAGGGAGCUCUAAAUUAUUAAAAAAAAUUAAGUGAAUCGGCUCCGGGUUCAGAUUCGACCCGGAAACGAUUAAGGCCCAAUACUUGGAGCCUGGAGGUGCCUUAAAAAGCACCUCCAGGUAGCGCACUGGUGCUAAAGCGCGCUUCAUGAGAAUUAUACCUGGAGGAUUAGCGCUUUUGCUCGCGUAUUUAGAACUUUGAAAAUUAUAAAAGCAAAUAUGCAAGAAAUUUAAAUAAAUGUGUAGAAUUCAGUUUUCUCACUGUUCUUUGGCAAGAAAGGUUCUCCCACGUUAUGCAUUCUAUUUGUACAUAUAAGACUCAAAGUUAAUAAACAAAUACAACAAUGAAUGUUUAAAUACCUAACCAUGUUAGCCCCAUGAGACUCUGAUGCAGCCUUGAGAUCUGGUUCACUUACGUUAAGUUGACCAACUGUAUUAGAAUUAAUCAUGGUUAAUGCAUUUUCUACUCCAUCUUUUGGUUUUCCAUCUUUAAUUGUAAUGAUAUGCUUAUAUGCAGAUGUUGAGUUCUGACAAUCUGGAUCUUCCUCCUCAGGAUGUUCUGCUGAAACUAUGAUCCGAUGCAUUAAAGACUCAGGUGAUGGGAAUUCUUCCAUAGAGUCGAAGUCCGCUGGUUUGAACAACAAAUCUCCAAAUGUGUCACAUAUCAUCUGUAAAAAAAUUGAUAAUGUCAUCAACAUCAUAAUAUUAUUAAUAUAUAGUCAUUAAUUACAUGACAAAAAGGAAAGAAGUAAAUCCAAACCAUUGCUGUUUUAGCUUGAAGAUCUGGAGUAAGAUGGUUCUCUAAAUUUAGCACAACAGGAUACGGAGACGAAGAAAAGGCAUGUUCUUUUAUGGCUUCCAAACAUUCUAAUAGUUCCACAUGAGAAGUUAAUGUCCUGCAGAUUUUAAUACAAAGAAAUAAACACACGCAUAAUCUCAUAUACAAAAUCUUUAUAUCAAUUGGUAAAAAAACUGAAAUGUUAAGAUGUUUGUUUUAAGUGUAGGUAAAUGAGGGGGAAAUAAUAUUGAACUUACAUUCCAUGAUAAACAUGAACAUCAUCAUUGGUAGAAUUAGGCCAUAUAUCCAACUCAAUCACUCUAACCCCUCUCUGUAAAGCUCUUAUAAUUGGAUCCACCCCGCUAUCACUGUUAAGUUGAUUCCCUGUCAAAUAGGAAUUGUGACCAGUAUACACAUAGUAGUGUGAAAGAGGAGCACACAUAUCAUGAUGAACCUAUCAAAACAAACAAUACACACACAAUUACCAAACAAUGGAUUAUUCCAGUAACGAAAACCGAUCAAAUCAAAACAAACGAACAAGUAGAAAAAUGAAUCUACACGGUUGACCUAAAUUUUAGUCAACAGAAACCACACAAACUACCUGAGAUGAUCUAAUAGGUGGAUUGAGUUCAGAAUCAAAGAGAUACCCAUAGAAAUCCUCUAACAGAAACUCUGAUUUCUCGGAUAGGAUCCUCUCAGCUUCCUCCAAGGCAUCUUCAUCCGUCCUCCCCUGUUGAUCGAUCAGGAACCGCCGGAGAUCGUCUUCAUGCAUUUGAAUCCCAUCAUCGGAGAAUGCUAAGAACGUCUUUUUCACCUCCUCCGGAACGUCGCCGCAUCUAUCUUCCUCCUCACCUCACCUCCGCUCAUUUCAACAACCUCUCUCUCUCUCUCUCUCUCUCUCUCUUUCAAAGUGAUUUUUAUUAGUGUGUGUCGGUAGUCGGUGCGAUCCAGAAAAAAAAAGAUAAUGCUACUACACGUCUUACGUCUACACACGUUUAUGGUGGGUCCGGGGUGUCGCAUUCCCGCCAAACGAAAGUAACAGAAAUUCGUACUGUAUAUUUGUAUUUAUUCAAACUGCAAUCAGGUACCAGUUCCGAAUAGCAUCCGAAUACCCGAAAUCCGUCAUUUACUAACAUUCUAAAUUAAUUUUAAAAUUGAAGAGAAGUAGCAAUAUGAAAAGACGAAUAGGAAUUGAAUUAAUUUUUACCAAGAUUUACCAUGCACAAUUUUCAAAAUGGUUGACUAAUAACCUAACCUUAACCCUAAUUUCGGUGACUCUGAUAUUCUCAAUUCGGUUAUUUGUUGCCUUCUUUUAUUUAUUUAUUUAUUAAUUGUCUUCUUUUGUUUCAUAUCCAGGUUAUUGUUUCACUUAGGAUCGGAUAUGGGUCGAGUUUCCUUUGGAUUUGCUUAGACCCGAACCCGAGUUUUCAAAUCGGGUUCUGGUCAAAACCCGAAAAGGUCAAAAAAUAUUAAACCCGAACCUGGUUUAGAUGUCGGGUUUAGAUUUAAUAAAUUAAUUGAAUAUUUCGCAUAAAAAACCCUGUUGUUUAAAUAAUUUGAAAAUUAUAAUUAAAUAAUUUUUAAAUUUGAUAAAAAUUAAAUAAAAUGGUUCGUGAAGAUGGAAAGGGUUUGUGAAAAUAGAGGGUCCGGUGACGGUGAGAAGAGGUCCGACGACAGCGAGGAGAGGACCGACAACGACGAAGAGAGGGAAAAUGAAAGAGGAAGAGAAGAGGAAAAUAAAAUUAGGGUUUAAAUUUUAGUAUAUAAAAUUCUGAUCAAGGUUUAUAAAAGAUGAAAAAUUUAUAAUUAUGUAUGUUAAAUUUUUUAUAAAGUGUUUUAUAUAAAAUUAUUUAUAUUUUAAUAAUUUUUUUAUAAAUUUCUUCGGGUUUCGGGUGAGUUAGGUUUGGUUCGAGUCAGACUCGACCCCAAAAAAAUCGGGUAAAAAAUAUUCAGGUUCGGGUUGUUCGCAUCGGGUUUCAUGGUCGAAAAUAUCGACCCAAACCCGGACCCACACCCAAUGAAGGUUCAGCUGACUGUCUGACGAACAUUAGUCUGUGAUGGUGAUGAUGACGCAUAAAAUCUACAUUGCCCAGAAUCUUGGUGAAACCAUCUGAAGUGUUGUAAAUACAUAUUCCACCCUUAGCACCCUUUUGUUUAUUAGCUCCCUUAAAAAAUAAAAACUAAUUUUUAUAUGCUUUGAUAUUGCUGUUAUGGUUGAUCGAUUGUCACAUAAUAAGAUUGGAGGUGAACUCAAUUUUAUCUCUAACUCUCUAAAUAAGUAAAAAAACCAUCUGAGUUCAGAUGUCACAUGUGUCAUGGCUUUGAACUAAACUUCUGCACUUGAAUUAGAGAUUAUUGGUUGUUUCUUGACAGACCAAGACAACAAGUUUUAGAGGUUAUUUCUGUACCAAGAUAAUACUAUUCUGAUGAUGUAGUUUAAUGCUUCCGCAGAACUUCAUUUUAUUCUUAUCACAUUCAACCAGCAAAAAAAUAGAAAACCAUGAUAUUUGUACGUUAGAUAAUCCAAAACAAAUUCAAGACAUGUCUUUGAAGAAGUCUUCAUAAUAGUCAUAUGAAUGACGCACUCUAACCUAACCAGUAUACUAUCAAUCAUAGUUAUUAUAGCUUUAAGUGCUUUGGCAAUUCUUCAAGAAACCAAUUCUUUCCAUGACACAAUAGACAACAGAAAUUGAUGUAGUUGUAAUUUAAUGUUUUCGUAAAACUUCGUUUCGAUAAAGUAGACAUUUAAUCUGCAAAUCUAUAGCAAAACAUAAUAAGUAAACAACAAUUCAUAUUUAAAAAACUAUAAAAUGUAAAAAACUAUAAAACAAUAUAUUGUUGAAGCGUGAAAAUAAAAUAUAGUAAAAAAGAAAAUAACAAUUGAUUGAUUGAAUAACAUAUUCUCAGUGAUUUUAUUUUAUCUAUUUUGUUUAAUCUUUUCAUUCUCAAUCAACCUUUUUAGUCUUUUAUUUAAAUUUUCCGAUAUCAUGAAAAAAUGCAUAGAGAAAAAAUAAUACCGGGUGACAUGUAGUAGUGUAAUCUCUCAUUAUCUUUUUGUAACUAUUAUAAUCCGUUGCAUCUGACUGGGCACAGUGUAAACUCUCAGUAAAUGAUUGAAUUAUGUAGCAUCAAACUAAACAUAAUCAUGAAUUAUUUAAGUUUGAUUGAACGACCUAAAUAGAAGCCUGGUGAAGAAACGAAAUAAUUAGUUUGAGGACAUAGAUAGAAGCCUGGUGUAGAAACUUAAAACCUUCGGAUGUGCUUUGAUUUUUUCAAGACUGAAGCAGGACACACGAAGAUCUUGAAUUAUGGUGACUCGAGAUAGAGCUAUCGUACACCAUUCCAGAUCCAAAUACUCGGGUCAAGUCGGUAGUAAGACGAUCUAGGGUCAUCCCUUGACAUUUGUGAACACUCAGUGCCCACGCUAGUAUCAGAGGAAUUUGCCGGCGAACAAUUUUAACUUCACUGCCUUCCAUAAUGUCUCAUUUUUCAACUUCCAAUCCAGAGUCGAACCUAACUGUGGGCACUACACCGUUUGGGUUGUUUUCAGAUGACAAUACCAAACCUACUUUAAAUCCUGUAACUACUCUAGUUGUGUCGUUCACGAGUCCGAUUGCUUAAUGGGUAUUCUUGAUCAGCAUUACUCUAGCACCCUCGCAGAUUUCCAGUUCAUCUGGGGCAAUAUGAUAUUUUAAUUGUUUUAACCAGGGCAUAGAACAUUGGUCUACAACAUUGAACUUCACUACCUCCUUCCCUAAACUUAUAAGACGCUCCUGAUUAACUCUUCUAAUAACGUCAUCUGUUCUUGGAAAUAGAGGGGUUUCAUUAUCAUUUUGGUCACUGCCCCUGUUAACUGAUGCGAUGCCAUGGAGAAAUCUAUUGAAGUUUUUGUUUUCACGAUCAACUUGUCCCCGCCGGAUUCCUUCCAGGAAUUCGAUGAGCUCGGAGUCAGACUGAAGAUAAACGUGAGUUAGUUUCAUCUUAAUAUCGAAUGUAGCUUCCCAGCAAGCAGAUUCGAAAGCGAACUCAUUUCGCGAAUUGGGAGCGUUGAUGGGAGGGAGUUGGAAAAAAUCACCACUAACAAUCAGUUGAAUGCCUCCCCAAAGUAAAGCCUUAUCCCCAUCGUGAUUAGAAUUUCGAAUCGAGACAGAUAUAAACUCCAGAUUAUCAAAAAACUGUUCAUCGAUCAUGCUUAUCUCAUCGAUAACAAGGGCCUUUGCUCUCUUUUAUUACUUUUUAAAACAAAAGAGACAAGUUUUGAUUUUGUCCGUUUCCCUAAACCGACGCCGGCGAAUGAGUAGAGAGUUUGUCCACCUAAAGCACAUGCAGCCACACCAGUAGAUGCAGUCACGAAAACAGAGUUUGGUGGAUGAAUACGUCGGAAUGUGGAGACAGCGUGUUGCAAAAGGAAACUCUUACCGGUACCGGCAGACCUUGUAAUGAACACCGACUUCCUACUUGCAAUCGUAGCAAUAACUUGUUCUUGCUGUGGACUGAGAGCGAUAUCUGAAGAGACAUUGUCAGAGGUAUCGAAAAUGACUCUAGACCUCUUCUUACCGACCGUGUUUUGCCACGCCAUUCUCCGAUUAUCUAUGAACACUCGUAAUUUCUUACAGCCGACGUUCAGGUGUAAACCCAAUAUUUAGACUGGUAAUUUACCUGAUGACAUCUAUUUGUUACUCCAUUAAUCUACAGAUAACCGGUUAACCUAUUAAUCGGUUUUAUCAAUGAGCAUUAAUCGGUUUCAUCGGACAAAUCCAUCAAUCGGUAAAUCGGUUAAAAUCGAAUAUUUUCUUUUAAAGCCGAUUCCCCUCCGAGUGAAGCCCUAAGGUAUUCGUCGACUUUCACAGAAUGCCGUCCAGCAGUUCUUCCUAGUUUCCGUUUUCUUCCAUUUGGCUCUCCCUCCUGAUGAUAAUCGCAACACCGAGAGGAAAUCAGGUAUGGCAUAUUGAAGUACUAGGGUUUCUAUUCACGUAUUAUUUUACCCCUAAAUAAUGAUUAACAUGUUUUCCAGCAAGUGCCGGAGACUGAAGGUGAUCCUGUGGAUCGACUAAAGGUUUUUAUAAACGUUUUGUAAUGAAGGCGAAAGGUUUGGUGAAAACCAGGCUUGUAUAAAAUACCAGGUUUAUUUUGAGGGAUCGACACAGGUAUAAAAUCUUCGUUAAGGGUAAUAGGAUUUAUUUUAAGAUCUGUGUUCGUCAUUCUACGGUGUAUACUGUUAUGGGUUAUAAAUACUGUUAAGGGUUCUAAAACUCUUAUGAGUUCUUCAGUCCGACUAAGAUCCUUCAUCCUCACCUUGUCAAAAAUUAAUAAUACCAAUUUUUUUAGAAAAUUGUAUAGUAAAUUCAUCAGAAAUUGUAAGUUUUCUGAUAGAUAUCAGAUUGACAUGAAAAGAUGGAGUAAAAUAGACAUCCUUUAGGGUUAUGGUGGGAGAGACCACCACAUUCCCUUUGGAUGAUACUAUUUUGCUCAUCCCAUUUGACAGUGAAAUAGAUAUCUCAUCACAAGGUUUGAUGUUUUGAAAAAGAGUUUUAUCGCCACACAAGUGCUCAGAUGUACCUGAGUCGACAAUCCAAAAAUUAUUUGAUAUAUGAGAGUUGAAAACAAAAUUUGAUAUACCUAAAUCAUGGGUUAUUGGUUUAGGAUUGUACUUCUCAGAGUACAAUGGAAAUCCAUGAGGACCAAUAGGGUUGUUAUCUGAUUUUUCUUUGGAAGAUUCCCUACCAGAGCUCACAGGUGAUUUUUCUCUCUCCAGACAGACCAAUCUCUUGAGGUUGUGGCACAGUUGACAGUAACUUUGGGUCUUGGCUUCACUUGAUUUUGGGGAGUAGAGGAUGAAACAUAUUUUCCUUGUUUUUUUCCUUCCGGAUAUCCAUGAAGAACGAAACACAUCUCUUCUGAAUGUCUAAAUACUGAGCAAUGAUGGCAAUAGUAGUUGGUGUUGAUUUGUUUCCCACUCUUGUAGUACAUGGGUUCAGAAGGUGGUGUUGGUCUUUUCUUUGAGUAAACAAAUGAUGGUUGAGAUGUCAUGGGUGCCUUCCCAGUAUAGGAGGGCUCAGAGUUCUUACUGCCUGGUCUGGCAGAAGACGUCCUUGAAAUCAAUAAAGCAUGUGCAGUGGCAUUUUGAUUCCCUUGGAGCCCAUGUUGAGCCUCCUCAUGUGCAAUUAACUGGUAGGUUUUGCUCAGGUUAGGCUGAGUAUCCAUGGCAAGGAUACUAGAUCUGACUUGUCUAAACUCAUCGUUCAUACCCAUUAGAAACUUCCUAACCUUUAAUUUUUCUUCUCUGUUUUUGAUUCUCCCAUUCACAUUACAUUCACACUUCCCACAGUCACAGAUAGGAACCUCUCCAUAGGCCUCUACCUCUCUUCAAGCAGUUUUGAGUUUGGUAUAGAAAGUUGACACAGAAUCACUACCCUGAAAGGUUAUAACAAUUGCAACAUCGAUCAUUGGAUAACUAGUAAACAUGAGUUUCAUUGGAUUGUCUGAAUUGAUCCUUCAGGUCAGUCCACAUAACAGUUACAUCAUCAGUGUACAUGAUCUGUGAUGAUAUCUUUUUAGAAACAGAAGCCCACAACCAUUGUCUGAUCACUCCAUGGCAUAUGAGCCAUGCCUCAAAUUCAGGGGAGUUUUUAUCAGUAGGUUCCUUGAUGGUCCCUAAAACAAAACUAAGUUUUCUCCUAGUGAUAAGAGUUGUGGUGAUUGUUGGAUCGAGGUCCGAAACGAUAAGGGGGGAUAAUAGCUACAUGGUUAAAUGCGGAAUUAUCGAUUAGGCAGGUUAAAUACGGAAUUAUCUGCAAAUACUUGAUACAUAAAUGGUUGAAUAACAAUAAAAAGAUUAUAAUAUUAUAUCUUACAAUAUAAUAUUAUAUAUAUUUAUAUUCUUGUCUUUUCUCUUCAAAGCUUACUACAGUAUAUGAAUACUGAGUCAGCUUAUUAGAUAGUGCUUUAUAAACAAUUGUAGUAUAUAGAUACUAAGUUAUAUUAUAAGUGCACGUUAUAGUAUUAGAGUAAAGGACCAGUUAAGUGGAUAUAAAAUGAUAAGUAAAUAAUUGACCAGAUAACUGGAUAUAUAUGAUAAGUAAAUAUCUGACCAGGUAACUGGCCGAUAUAUAUGAUAAGUAAAUAGUUGACCAGUUAACUGGCUAGAGAUUUGAACAAUAAAUAUAACCUCAGAUACUUGACCAGAUAACUGGAUGAGAGAUCUGCAGAAAGUAGUCAACCUCUAUACCUGACCAGAUAACUGGAAGAUGGAUCUUUUUAAUUAAGUGUUGUUUAGACAAUAAAUAAAACUAAAGUUAACAAAGAACAACACAAAAGAUUUAAUACUGAUUCACCCAAACAAGAGCUAGUCCAGUCCCGACAAACUAUCGGAAUUCACUGGCCUAAAGGUAAUGACAAAAUCUUAGAGUAUCAAGGAAACUCCUAAAAACCUCUCUAAGCUUUAAGACUAUUUCGCUUAGGAACCAGUCUUUUACGGGUAGACUCACACCUUAGAGUAUCAAGGAAACUCUUAAAAACUUUUAACUUUUGCGGGUAAGUUAGUACCUUAGAGUAUCAAAAAACUCUUAAAAACCUCUCUAAACUUUAAGGCUACUUCGCUUAGGAACCAGUUUUUUACGGGUAGACUCACACCUUAGAGUAUUAUGGAACUCUUAAAAACCUCUAACUUUUACGGGUAAGUUAGGACCUUAGAGUAUUAAGGAAUUCUUAAAAACCUCUAACUUUUACGGGUAAGUUAGGACCUUAGAGUAUUAAGGAACUCUUAAAAAAACCUCUCUAUAUCUUUCAAGGUAGAUUCCACCUAAGAGUUUUCCCGGAAACUCUAUAAAACCAAACAAGAGCUUUAUGGUUGAGCUCAAAAACCUUCUCUCACACUUUGGUGAUAUUGAGACAAAUAUCUCAACCAAAGUGGACACACACAAGAGAGGAUUAAAGGAGUGGAAUGUUUAAAGCACACAAAACUUCUUACUUGUAAAGAUGAACAAGAAGGUUAGAAGUAGAAGUUGGAGAGCUUUUGAAGCUUUUAGAAGCUUGGACACUUGAGAGCCUUUGGAAGCUUGGAAACUUGGAAGCAAGAACACUUUGUAGAUCUCAAGAUGAUGAGUGAAAGCUCUUUGAAAUGCUUUGAGUGUGGUGAACGAAAAUGGAGGGUUUGGGCCUCUAUUUAUAGCCUAGGUCAUCACUUGUUCACCUUUGGAUCUUCAAUGGAUGGUUCCUUGAUUUCUCACAAAAGUCUAAGAUUUUGUCUUCCCAAGAAGCUUAAAUAGUAGAAGCUUAAAUAGUAGAAGCUUAAAUAGUAGAAGCUUGCUUUUUGUAGAUAUGAUUUC